UAGGGAAUCUUCCACAAUGGACGCAAGUCUGAUGGAGCAACGCCGCGUGAGUGAAGAAGGUUUUCGGACCGUAAAGCUCUGUUGUUGGUGAAGAAGGAUAGAGGUAGUAACUGGCCUUUAUUUGACGGUAAUCAACCAGAAAGUCACGGCUAACUACGUGCCAGCAGCCGCGGUAAUACGUAGGUGGCAAGCGUUAUCCGGAUUUAUUGGGCGUAAAGCGAGCGCAGGCGGUUUUUUAAGUCUGAUGUGAA
rnacentral:rRNA from 1 species